rnacentral:rRNA from 1 species
UACGUAGGGUGCAAGCGUUGUCCGGAAUCACUGGGCGUAAAGGGUGCGUAGGCGGGUCUUUAAGUCAGGGUGAAAUCCUGGAGCUCAACUCCAGAACUGCCUUUGAUACUGAAGAUCUUGAGUUCGGGAGAGGUGAGUGGAACUGCGAGUGUAGAGGUGAAAUUCGUAGAUAUUGGGAAGAACACCGGUGGCGAAGGCGGCGACCUGGUCCGAUACUGACGCUGAGGCGCGAAAGCGU